rnacentral:rRNA from 1 species
AUGAACGCUGGCGGCGUGCCUAAUACAUGCAAGUCGAGCGAACAGACGAGGAGCUUGCUCCUCUGACGUUAGCGGCGGACGGUUGAGUAACACGUGGAUAACCUACCUAUAAGACUGGGAUAACUUCGGGAAACCGGAGCUAAUACCGGAUAAUAUAUUGAACCGCAUGGUUCAAUAGUGAAAGACGGUUUUGCUGUCACUUAUAGAUGGAUCCGCGCCGCAUUAGCUAGUUGGUAAGGUAACGGCUUACCAAGGCAACGAUGCGUAGCCGACCUGAGAGGGUGAUCGGCCACACUGGAACUGAGACACGGUCCAGACUCCUACGGGAGGCAGCAGUAGGGAAUCUUCCGCAAUGGGCGAAAGCCUGACGGAGCAACGCCGCGUGAGUGAUGAAGGUCUUCGGAUCGUAAAACUCUGUUAUUAGGGAAGAACAAAUGUGUAAGUAACUAUGCACGUCUUGACGGUACCUAAUCAGAAAGCCACGGCUAACUACGUG